rnacentral:rRNA from 1 species
CAGCAGUGGGGAAUAUUGCACAAUGGGCGCAAGCCUGAUGCAGCAACGCCGUGUGAGUGAAGAAGGUUUUCGGAUCGUAAAACUCUGUCCUAAGGGAAGAAACAAAUGACGGUACCUUAGGAGGAAGCCCCGGCUAACUACGUGCCCAGCAGCCGCGGUAAUACGUAGGGGGCAAGCGUUAUCCGGAAUCACUGGGCGUAAAGGGUGCGUAGGCGGCUUAGCAAGCCAGGGGUGAAAGGCAUUGGCUCAACCAAUGUAAGCCUUUGGAACUGUUAAGCUUGAGUGCAGGAGAGGUAAGUGGAAUUCCUAGUGUAGAGGUGAAAUUCGUAGAUAUUAGGAGGAACACCAGUGGCGAAGGCGACUUACUGGACUGUAACUGACGCUGAUGCACGAAAGCGUGGGUAGCGAACAGGAUUAGAUACCCUGGUAG